rnacentral:rRNA from 1 species
GGGUUGUGAGGUUAAGCGACUAAGCGUACACGGUGGAUGCCCUGGCAGUCAGAGGCGAUGAAGGACGUGCUAAUCUGCGAAAAGCGUCGGUAAGGUGAUAUGAACCGUUACAGCCGGCGAUGUCCGAAUGGGGAAACCCAGUGCAAUUCGUUGCACUAUCGUUAACUGAAUACAUAGGUUAACGAGGCGAACCGGGGGAACUGAAACAUCUAAGUACCCGAGGAAAAGAAAUCAACCGAGAUUCCCCCAGUAGCGGCGAGCGAACGGGGAGCAGCCCAGAGUCUGAAUCAGCUUGUGUGUUAGUGGAACGGUCUGGAAAGUCCGACGGUACAGGGUGAUAGUCCCGUACACCAAAAUGCACAGGUUGUGAACUCGAAGAGUAGGGCGGGACACGUGGUAUCCUGUCUGAAUAUGGGGGACCAUCCUCCAAGGCUAAAUACUCCUGACUGACCGAUAGUGAACCAGUACCGUGAGGGAAAGGCGAAAAGAACCCCGGCGAGGGGAGUGAAAAAGAACCUGAAACCGUGUACGUACAAGCAGUGGGAGCACCUUCGGGUGUGACUGCGUACCUUUUGUAUAAUGGGUCAGCGACUUAUAUUCUGUAGCAAGGUUAACCGUAUAGGGGAGCCGCAGGGAAACCGAGUCUUAACUGGGCGUUAAGUUGCAGGGUAUAGACCCGAAACCCGGUGAUCUAGCCAUGGGCAGGUUGAAGGUUGGGUAACACUAACUGGAGGACCGAACCGACUAAUGUUGAAAAAUUAGCGGAUGACUUGUGGCUGGGGGUGAAAGGCCAAUCAAACCGGGAGAUAGCUGGUUCUCCCCGAAAGCUAUUUAGGUAGCGCCUCGUGAACUCAUCUUCGGGGUAGAGCACUGUUUCGGCUAGGGGGUCAUCCCGACUUACCAACCCGAUGCAAACUACGAAUACCGAAGAAUGUUAUCACGGGAGACACACGGCGGGUGCUAACGUCCGUCGUGAAGAGGGAAACAACCCAGACCGCCAGCUAAGGUCCCAAAGUCAUGGUUAAGUGGGAAACGAUGUGGGAAGGCACAGACAGCCAGGAUGUUGGCUUAGAAGCAGCCAUCAUUUAAAGAAAGCGUAAUAGCUCACUGGUCGAGUCGGCCUGCGCGGAAGAUGUAACGGGGCUAAACCAUGCACCGAAGCUGCGGCAGCGACACUAUGUGUUGUUGGGUAGGGGAGCGUUCUGUAAGCCUGCGAAGGUGUGCUGUGAGGCAUGCUGGAGGUAUCAGAAGUGCGAAUGCUGACAUAAGUAACGAUAAAGCGGGUGAAAAGCCCGCUCGCCGGAAGACCAAGGGUUCCUGUCCAACGUUAAUCGGGGCAGGGUGAGUCGACCCCUAAGGCGAGGCCGAAAGGCGUAGUCGAUGGGAAACAGGUUAAUAUUCCUGUACUUGGUGUUACUGCGAAGGGGGGACGGAGAAGGCUAUGUUAGCCGGGCGACGGUUGUCCCGGUUUAAGCAUGUAGGCUGGUUAUCCAGGCAAAUCCGGAUAAUCAAGGCUGAGGUGUGAUGACGAGGCACUACGGUGCUGAAGUAACAAAUGCCCUGCUUCCAGGAAAAGCCUCUAAGCAUCAGGUAACAUCAAAUCGUACCCCAAACCGACACAGGUGGUCAGGUAGAGAAUACCAAGGCGCUUGAGAGAACUCGGGUGAAGGAACUAGGCAAAAUGGUGCCGUAACUUCGGGAGAAGGCACGCUGGUGUGUAGGUGAAGUCCCUGCGGAUGGAGCUGAGACCAGUCGAAGAUACCAGCUGGCUGCAACUGUUUAUUAAAAACACAGCACUGUGCAAACACGAAAGUGGACGUAUACGGUGUGACGCCUGCCCGGUGCCGGAAGGUUAAUUGAUGGGGUUAUCCGUAAGGAGAAGCUCUUGAUCGAAGCCCCGGUAAACGGCGGCCGUAACUAUAACGGUCCUAAGGUAGCGAAAUUCCUUGUCGGGUAAGUUCCGACCUGCACGAAUGGCGUAAUGAUGGCCAGGCUGUCUCCACCCGAGACUCAGUGAAAUUGAACUCGCUGUGAAGAUGCAGUGUACCCGCGGCAAGACGGAAAGACCCCGUGAACCUUUACUAUAGCUUGACACUGAACAUUGAGCCUUGAUGUGUAGGAUAGGUGGGAGGCUUUGAAGCGUGGACGCCAGUCUGCGUGGAGCCAACCUUGAAAUACCACCCUUUAAUGUUUGAUGUUCUAACGUUGGCCCCUGACCGGGGUUGCGGACAGUGUCUGGUGGGUAGUUUGACUGGGGCGGUCUCCUCCCAAAGCGUAACGGAGGAGCACGAAGGUUAGCUAAUCCUGGUCGGACAUCAGGAGGUUAGUGCAAUGGCAUAAGCUAGCUUGACUGCGAGCGUGACGGCGCGAGCAGGUGCGAAAGCAGGUCAUAGUGAUCCGGUGGUUCUGAAUGGAAGGGCCAUCGCUCAACGGAUAAAAGGUACUCCGGGGAUAACAGGCUGAUACCGCCCAAGAGUUCAUAUCGACGGCGGUGUUUGGCACCUCGAUGUCGGCUCAUCACAUCCUGGGGCUGAAGUAGGUCCCAAGGGUAUGGCUGUUCGCCAUUUAAAGUGGUACGCGAGCUGGGUUUAGAACGUCGUGAGACAGUUCGGUCCCUAUCUGCCGUGGGCGCUGGAGAAUUGAGGGGGCUGCUCCUAGUACGAGAGGACCGGAGUGGACGCAUCACUGGUGUUCGGGUUGUCAUGCCAAUGGCACUGCCCGGUAGCUAAAUGCGGAAGAGAUAAGUGCUGAAAGCAUCUAAGCACGAAACUUGCCCCGAGAUGAGUUCUCCCUGAGACUAUAAGUCUCCUGAAGGAACGUUAAAGACGAUGACGUUGAUAGGCCGGGUGUGUAAGCGCAGCGAUGCGUUGAGCUAACCGGUACUAAUGAACCGUGAGGCUUAACCUUACAACGCCGAAG